rnacentral:lncRNA from 1 species
UAUUCUGGUUGCCUUACCCAGCUCUGAAGUCUGUCAGCCUCUUCAGAUGUCACUUGCCAUGUGGUAAGGAAGUGUAGUCAGCAGCUGGUGCAGUGGGAAGAAGAGAAAGGAAGUUCCCCAAGACAAAAACAUCUCGGCAGACCGUGAUCAUGGGCUACAUUCUCCGUACCAGCUUCAUAGCUCCAGUGAGAAAAUAAAUUCCUGCAUCCAGGAGAUGUGGAGUAAGAGAUACAGCUGCCCUUGACCAUAUUUCUUACUUCCGAGAAGAUCGUAGCAGUAAUUCAGUACAGUCUUCAGGGAACACCAAGGCCUGUUUGAUUUUCCAAGUAUCAACAAGUGGAGUUGACAAGAGUGACAAGUGGUCAGAGCAAAGCAUUUCAUGAUGACUGUAACGUGCCUGUGUCAGCAGCGACUGCUUACAGUGAGAUUCACAUGACCAUCGUUUAUGACAUAGGAAGAAUAAAAGGAGAGAGAGAGAGAAAGAUAGGUAGUUGAUCAAAAUGAAGAAUUGGAUUUGGAAAGCAACUUCGAAUAGUCUCUGCUUAUAUUUCUGAGAUUAAGGCAAACAGUCUCAAGAAUCUCAUCCAGGAUACCUCAUCACAGGCUGGAGUGCAGUGUCAUGAGCUUGGCUCACUACAGCCUCCAUCUUCUGUGCUUAAGGAUCCUUCCCUCUCAACCUCCAAGGUAGCUGAGACUACAGGCAACAUUCGAAACCCAGGUGCCACUCCUUCAGGAAGGUACCAUCAAGCUCCAAGGACUCAUCCUCUUUCUCCUUCCCCACUACCUAGUCAUUAGAGCGUCAGCAUCCACUUCCUGAAAGGAAGAUGCCUGUUUUUCACAUAUCCCAGAAAGCCUCAUUUUAGGACAGCAUUUAGCAGAGUGUAUUCAGGAUCCCACUAACCUUUUCGGAAGACAUGACUUCCAGAUGAUAUAAGGCAAGAAUAAGAAAUUUCAGUGACAGGGAACAGAAAUCAUAUUUCUGCAUUCAGGAUCAUGUUUUCUUGGCUCCAUCAGGAACUGUGCAGGACUGUGCACUCUGUUGAUACUCACAUGGUGGAAUUAUAUUGCCCUUGGCCAACCCUAAAGCCAUCAAGAUAGCAGCAACUACUCUAUCAUUACUGUACCACCACCUGUAUGGAUCUCGUUGCCCAUAUGAAACUGAGUAAGGAACAAUGUGCAUCACACUCACAGAGAAAGAUGGACAAGUUUGGAAUAAUUCACUGUCGAAGUCUUCUUGAGCUGAGCAGUCAUGUGAGCUUGGAAGAUGAUCCCUCUCCAGCUGAUCCUUCAGCUCAGGCCAUCAUCUACAUCUGGAUUCCUGACCCGGAGAAACUAUGAGUAAUGUGUGCUGCUUUUGAGCCACUAAGCUACAUGAAUUAAUGAAGGAUCAUUAUUAAGUUUUUAAUGGGUCAAGAGAAAGUUACCACUGAGGUCUUCUCUACCUGGGCAACAAUUGACUCCUAACAACCACUAUAAGCUUGGAAGAUGAUCCCUCCCCAGCUGAUCCUUCAGUUCACAUGAAGCAUUUGGAAGUAAACACACGAUGGACUGAACACUUUGCUGCUUAGAAACUUCUUCUUCCAGAUUCCCUAGUUCAUCAUUAAGUAGUUAGGCCUCUCACAAAGCCCUUGGUCACGGAUACAGGUCCUUGGAAAAAACUCAACCAAUUGUCAACCAGAAAAUGCUUAAAUUUAUCUAUAGCCUGUAACCCCACCCCCCACUCCCUACCCUGCUUCAAGCUGUCCUGCCUUUCUGGAACAAACCAAUGUAUUCCUUAAACAUAUUUGAUUGCUGUCUCAUGCUUCCCUAAAAUGUAUAAAACCAAGCUGUACCCCAACCACCUUGGGCACAUGUUCUCAGGACUUCCUGAGGGCUGUGUCAUGGGCCAUGGUCACUCAUAUUUUGCUCAGAAUAAAUCUCUCUAAAUAUUUUACAGAGUUUGACUUUUUUGGUCAACAGCAGUCUUGUCACAACCACUUGACCAAUUUAUAAGGACUCCCAAACUUUUCCUAGUCUUCUUGUAUCUAACCCUUACAACAAUGUAGGC